UCAUGAGAUUUUUCUUGUACGUGCCCCCUCCUGCUUUAUCAGAGGGGGGCAUUCGUCCCUCCUCAAAAGAAUCCACAGAGUCAUGUCUCGAUUUUUUCUUCAACGACAAAUCGAGAAUCGGCACAGAAUCUAAAUCCAUAAACAUUUUAUGCACCGUGUGUUAACCUCAGUGUGUAAAAAUUUAUCACAAAUAUCUCUUUUCUCGAGCACACAUGAAAGCAAAAUUGAAAAAAAAAAAUCAAUGGAUAAAACUAAUCAUGUAAGUCUGUUCUUCUCCAUGCAGAUAAAAUGAUUCAUGAUGAUUGAAAGGAAAAACAGUAAAUAAUUGGUCUCCUCAUGCAGACUAGAAUUCCUGUGUCACACUGCCUGGUCGCUGUAGGAAGUGAACACUGCACUCUAUUUACAUAGGAAGUCUCUGUAUGUCUAACCAACCCAUAUUGUUAUAGUCAUUGAGGCCACCGGUCACAUGACUUGUGAUGUAAACUCUGGCAGUGCUCAGGUAGGAAAUCAGAGCUGGGCUAUUUAAAUUUUUCCUGUUUUUCUCGAUACACACACCACAUUACACUGAGGUAGAGCCAGUUGUUUAAAAAAAAAACUCUCAGGUGUGGAAGAAGGUUGUUUUUUUUUUUUAGAGGGGGUGAUCAUAAAACAGGAAAUAGGCGUUCAAUCUGAGGCAGGUAUUUAGCGGCAGCGGGAGUGAUAUGACCUGGAGACCAGAGGGAUUUAGAUAUCAAGCCAAUAUGUCUUAGAUAGCCCAGGUAGAUAGUUGCUACCUAAUUAGAUAAACUAUAGUCAAUAACACUCUGAAGAAGACAAUGAAUGUAGGUUAUCUGACCGGCUCAGCUAUCAGGGCACACAUCAGACAUCGAGACAUUUCUCACUACAGCAGAAAGGGCAUCAACUCUUAAUCAAGUUCAUAAUUAUGUUAUGAAACAAAUGGUUCUAUUAAGUAUCAACCACAGAAAUUAAAAUGCAAAAGAGAGAAAAACUAACUAAGGAUUAAGGUAAAUAUGCGGAGGAAAAAAAAAAUAGUUUCUCGGAACUCAUAAACACAUGAAGUCAAUGUCAUUAGAAUAAAGUUCCCAAUUUUGCUGAUUUUUAUCAAAAGAUCUCUAUGUGCCAGGUUUAGCACUACAGUACAUAGACAUGAUAGAGACAGGAUCUUAAAAAGUGAGACAUUCCACAAUCCACAUGUUGACAACAAGCCCAUUCAAAUAAAACUAAGACAGAGUCUUUUCUUAAGAAGAGAGCCUUCUAUACUGCAUGGUUACAGUGUAGCUGAGUUCAGGACUCUAGGUGGGACCUUCCACAUACCUGAUUGUGGGGGCGGACCUACAAACAGGAACUGUGGGCUGUACGGCCUCGCUGAUAAACCACUGCACCGAGUCAUACCAAACCUUGACACAAAGUUCUAACAACCAGAUAGUGCACCCAAUGCAAGAGGCAAGAAUACCUCUAGGGUCUCUUUAAACAAUGGGCUUUUUAUAUUAUUGUCUUAAAAGCCUAUUUUAAAAAAACUUGAAAAAAGUUAUUUUAAGAGGUGGUUAAUUGCCAUGGCAAAGAGAAAAUUGCCUUCUAUGCCCUCUGUGUCUAUAAUGAACUUGUUGGUACAAAGUUGGUACAAAUUGCCUUCUGUGCCCUCAGUUUCUAUAACAGAUUGAUUGGUACAAAGUUGGUACAAAUUGCUUUCUGGGCCCUCCAUUUCUAUAAUAGACCGGUUGAUACAUGUUCGGUAAGUGAGUGCUGAGACAGUUGAGCUGACUGGUCAUCAGUUAUGUUAACAUAUUUCACACAGAUAUAGAGGUACCUAGUGUGUGACAAUUUUACACUCAUUUUACAGCCCCAGGUUGCUUAUUUUGACAAAUUUAAUUUCUCAUUUCAAAUUUCACACAUUCUUCGUAACGAGUGUCACAAUGUAAAGUGGCCAGAUGAAGAAUGGUCCUUCUACGGUAACCUAUAUGUACAUCCCCACAAUGCCAGUGUACGAACAAGCUUUAAUUAAAUUAAUAGAUGUUCUAAACCACAAAUGAUAUUGUACUCAGAUGGUGCCAGUUCUAUUGUAGGGCUAAUUACAAGUACCACAUCUGUUUAUUUACUGAGUGUCAUGCCAUUAGAAGGCGACACUGCUCUUCCAACUUUAUUUUAGUGUGAUACUUUCAUGUAUGAAGCCACUUUCUUCGUGGUGUCAGGAAUUUAUAACAACUUGUGACACUAACAUUACACUGAAGGGAAAAAAAUGAAACAGGAAGGUCACAAUAUUAGGUAACAAAAUAUGGUGGAAUAAUUAUAUAUUUCGUGAUUGCUCCAUUUUCAUGGUAUUCAUUGGUAGCAUUCUCCACGAAAACAAACGUUAAAGACUUAGUUUUCUUAUCAAAAGUGCAAAACCCACGCAUCCACAAAAUCACAUCCCCACCAAUAAGCAAAAACCCUACACUCCACGAAAAUUGGCCCCCACGAAUUUAAAUGAUUCUACAGUAUCAUGCAUUUCUUAUUUUUUUUCUUCUUCAAAUUGAAGAACAUUUGAAACAGUGUUUGAAGUGGAAAUUAAGUUAAACAGACAUGCACACCUGCAUGUGGGUUUGCAAUAAUGGGUGCUAAAAAGAUUGACUGGCUAAAUGAUCCGGAUGUAGAGCAGUAUUGAACAAUCUACCAGUUCAAUAGACUAUGAGUGUACACAAUGUGACCUACUAAUGCUAGUUUCCUUUUUAUUAUUAUGAAACAGCUGUGAACAUAUCUGGCACAUCUUGAAGUAACAUGUCUUACUUCACUGUUCUACUUUUUAGUUCAUAUGAACUAUUUCAUAUCACAUUCAAUUUUUUGAUUAUUAUUUUUUUGCACCAAACUAAAAAUACAAACAUCUGUGUAUCUGACUCUCAUUACAAUGUAUCAGAUCAUGUUUCAGCACACCAACCUCAAAACAAAAACAGUCUUGACAAAGUUUACCAUGAGAAAAAAAAGAAGAAAAAUAUGGGGUCAAUUAUAGAUCAUAUUUCAGGAACAAUCUACCAUUAAAAAAGGAUAGAAUUUUAAUUUCUAAACUGUUUUCUCAGAUAAUAAAUUUACAAUGAAUUUUGCAGGUCAAAAUAAACCCCGCCAAAUAUGAAUGACAUUGCAAUUGAAAAAGAAAAGGAUUUGACCUUAACCUAGAUGUCCCUUUCUAAUGGGACAGGGGUUUUCCCCCUUUGUUAUAAUCUACCGGUAUAUUGCCAGUUGCUUAGUACAAAGUACAUUACUUUUUACUGUCCAUUAGUUUACUGACUUGAAGUAAUGUCAUAACUUGCAUACAUUGGUUAAUCAAAUGCAACCCACACAAUGUAAAAAUAACCAUCCAAAGAAUAUUUGUCUUUAUUUUUAUUAAGAUCUGAAAGUGAUUAGUGUAACUGGUGGUUCAUGGUGACUUUAUCAAUAGGAGAGGGUACUGCAUGAAUGAAUAACAAAAUGAUUGCCGAGUACAGGAGGUAAAUAACCCCAGGUGCCCCCCUCCAAAACCUCUCUGACUCUAAGAGUGAAUAGGUGUGCUAUUAUAUAGAGCUUAUAUCAAUUGCCUGGAACCAUCACAAAACCCAUUCUGUGUGUUAAUUUUAGCAUUCACAAAGGGGGGAAUAAAAAAAAUCAAGAUUGAUAAAUUCUUGUAAUGCGCCCCUUAUCUUACAGAAAAAAUAACAUGAUAGGUGAGAUAUGAUGAAUGAAAUAUGUGCCAUGCAUACAGAUAAUGUAAAUUUUCAAAAAUAACUUCCGAGAACACGUGAAAUAUUUGGAGAAUGUAAACCCAAAAGCUCUCCAAUAUUAACAUAUCUGGAUCAACACUAGCCAAAGGAAUUGCCGACUGGCAUCACCCCCCUACCUCUCCCCCCAUGGAUGGCACUUGACAGCCCCAUUAGAUCUGAAUACAAAUGUACCAUUUUCAGCAUGCAUUAACUUCACUGUCACUUUCUACAGGUAGGCCAUGCUGAUAGAUAAAUCUUUGUCAGGCCCCCAAGACUUGGACCAAAAGCCAUCCAUCCCCUGUCCAAGACAGCUCAACCCCACAACUGUUAAUGACUAUGAAGUCAGGAAAUGCCUCGAUACUUAUAAACUGUCUGCUCUGAUCACCAAUAUUAACCAAAAAAUUGUUUAAAAGACCCAAAGGCAAAUGUCAGUAGGGUUAAUCUCUUAUUUCUCAUUUUUUUGUAUUUUAGCUGAAUGAAAAUAAAUAAUCGAUAAAUUUCUAGCUUCAGAAGAUUUAAGUAGGUCAUGCUUCUAGAGUUUAUGACCUUGGGCAGUGUGACACAUUAAAUGAGGAGACCAAAGAUUAAAUGCUUACAAAUAACGAAAGAGUUUAGAAUUUCUCCUUACUACCGCUACAAAAAGUUUGUAGUACUGAGGCCACUCUCUGAUUCAUGCAUCAAUCUUCCAUUUUGUUCCAUACAACCCCCCCCCCCCCCCUUUAAAAAAAAGAAAUGAAAAAUGUCAUCCCUAAGAAAUGUUCUCACAGCCAAUAAAACAAUAGCCUUACAGAGAUGAGCAUAAUGAGAUUGUUAUUACGAAAUGAUUUCGUGUUUAAGAUGACUAAAUUCGUGAAGGAGGUCAUUUGAUGUGGGAAUCAUGACUAAACCCUAGAUUGAUGUUCCGCUGGUGGACACGGAUGUUUUGGAGAGGGGAGUAGAGAGAUCUUGAUACAGUUCCCAGCUCCAGCCCUUGUCAGUAGGAAGCCGAGUCAAGGGCCUGAGUCACAGCCCGAUAACCCUGAACACUUCCAUUGUCGGAAAUCUUCAACUUUUCCAUUCCUACAUCCGCAGUACAUGUUUUCCGGAUUUCACCAGUUACUUGACGAAAUAGCGAAAAAGAUCAGCCAAGUGCACCAUGUGGGUGUUUUUCUGUGCUGCCUCGUAUUUCAAUAUAUGUCACCGCUAUGAGAGGAGUGCAUUGUUCCCCUCAUAAACAGCAAACAUUUUUCUGAACCUUUUAAUAAAAACAAAUAUUUCCUGACUUUUCCUCGUGUUUUAUCAUUAGUCAUGUGGACAAGCAUGAUCUCCCCGCUCGCUAUAUAGACAUUGGGUGGAGUCACAUGUAUAUUCUGUUACCUACUUCAUAUCAGCGUAAAACCUGGCACCACUUCCUAGAGUCCAACAUUUUUAUUACGCUUUAUUUACUUGUUUAUUUCCUCUCUCCGCGGAUGGAAUUGAUCAUAUACUUGUAAUUAUGUCCUGGUGAUCAUUAUUUUUUUUUUCUGUUCGAGAACUAAACAAGGACUUUCAUGAUUGGCUGAUAAGCACAGAAACACUUGUUAGAUAACCGAAUUCAGGAUCUACACAAUACAGUACUUUAACUCUGAGGUCAUUGUCACUUGAUCUUGUUUUUAUCACUAUCACAUGAAAUGACUAAAACAAACUACUUGUACGGUUUAGACAAUCAACGUUGUUUGAAGUGCUUCAAUUAUUGCCCAAAAAUAUGAGGUUAUGUUUCUCCACAAUUUGCACAUUACUUCAAUGUCUCUUGUUUUUUUUUUUUCAUAGAAAAACUCUUAAAAUACUUGAGCAGAAAACUUAAUGAUUGAGUCUCUGGAUUUGGAAAUCCUAGAUAGGAAGUGUAGAUGAAUAAUGACCAGGGCACUUUCUACAGUGAUUAUUUUACAUCACGAUAAAACAACUCUUUAUCAUUCUUGUCUACAUCUGGCCUUUCAAGCAUUCACCUUAAAACACUAGUACAUCUACCAGUUAAAACACGUCCUGCACAGAUCUUUUGGUACAGCUACGUAACCAAGGAAGGGUUUUCACUGUCAUUUUAAAAUGUCCAUAAAAACAGGUUUUAUGCAAUGUAUUUGAAAAGAAGAUGGAUAGGGUACAAAUUACUAAUAUAAUAGGACUUCUCAAUCCUAUCGAAAUGACUGCGAAUUGUAAAACCAAGGAAGGAUUUAAAUUACACAGGCUUUUAAAAAUAUUUCCUAAACAAGGUCUUUGGCAGGCGAUCAAACUUGAUAGUAAUCUGCAUAUCCAUACAGGGUAGUAGAGUGUGGACGGGCAGCAAAUUCUUUGCCAACUCCGUCUAUUGUGCCGUCGGACAAUUACACCCUGCUUGUCGACAUUCUCCUUGGAUGACUGCAUGUAUACGGAAUCUAAUUCAAUGGCUUCAAACGGGUAGAAGUCUGAUAAAUGUAAAGAUAGAACAUUUGUCAUGAAGACAAACUCUUUGACCUCUAACAUAUCUCUCUUCGGGUCAAGGUCAGAGGCGAGCUAAAUUCUGAUUUGUACUUUUAUUACUCAUCAAACUGGUGACCCAGUAAACUAAAGGAUUCUAUAACUUACGUCAGAGCUUUUAUGAAUUGCAAAUAACAGACUUUUUAAAUCACAUACCACCAUUGUUGAGCAUACAAUCUUGACAUAUAUGGUUAUUAAUAUAACAAAUCAGUUUUUAGUGUUUGACUGUUACUAAGGGUCUUUGAAAAACAGAUCAGAUAAAAGAAUUACAUAGUCACGUUGUAAAAAAAAGAAGAUAUUUCAUUAACUAACAUGAGAGAAAGUAAAAUUUUACAGCAUUUCUCUGAGAUCAUCUAUGUGUGGAGAGGGGAGCCUGCGAACCAGAAGAGGAAACACAGUAAUUAGAGUUUACGGAAACCCUAGAAAGGGAGAUAAUUGAGUAUACGGAAGUUUCCCCUCACAUCAGAUGGCAACAUCCGCAAACAAAAGAUGUACAAUACUGAUAGCUAAAGAGCCGAUUGCUGUACGAAUUAGCCUAAAUAUAGACACUGCACGCCACACCGCUGUCUAAAGUACAUCCCCUUACACAACCUUUUCUUCAGUCCUGCCCAGUAAGCAAGAAGUGAUUCAGUUUUACGUGCUGAAGAACAAAAUAGUGACUAUCUACGAUUUAGAAAAUAAAGUCUUAUCUACUGUACAUGUAAUGAGCGUGUACUGAUAAUUUGUCAGACUUCCUCACUUGGUGACCAUAGCCCUCACUUCAAGCUCUGCGCUGUUCAUUAGAGAUAAUAUAAGAGGGAACACUUGAGAGACCCUCGUUUAGUAAACAAAGAAUUAUGCAAUUAUUUGGAAAAACUUCCUGCUUUCUUUUGUCUCAGAUUUUAAUGUAUGAUAUUAAUUUCCUAAUAUUUCCUGUGUAUAUAUGAUCCAUACAUUCAUUAGGAGUUUUAUGGUAGGAAGUUUUCAGUCAGAUCAGCUUGAUUCAAAGUGUCGAGACUUUCUAAACCAUGCAAAACAAGGCCACUGAAACUCAUUUACAUUCACUGGUCAUCUUAACAUUUUCUGUUUUAUUUUGGAUGCACCCACAAUAUGAUUAAAUGUACUUCAUUGGCAAUCAUUUUGCAGGCAUACCACAUUGACCUAGAUAUCAUGCAAUGGCUUGAUGUAAUAUCAAACGUCGAACAUACUCUUUUUUAUGCAUUUACAAGAUUUCAUAUUAUAGCCUUGCUUAUCACCAGCUGAUAGCUUGAUACUGCAUCCUUGCAUAACAAAAGCUUUUUUGAACAAAUCAACAUUUUUUUUCUGAUUGCGUCCUUGGAUAGACAAUUUUAUCAUGGCUUCAUUAAGACUUUCUACACAAUCAUGAAAAAUGAAAUAGAUUGUAUUAAAAGUUAAUUUUUUUCACUAGUGUAUUUUUUCAUCAUUGAUUUCAAACUUACGGCUUCGAGAAUAAAGAAAUAACCAAUAACAAAAUGCAAUCUUUUCUGUAGCACUAAAUAUCUAAAGAUUACACCCAAAACUAUUAAACGAACUUUGCUUAUGUCAAUCUGCGGGACCUCUGAUGACAGAGUUUUCUUUUUGAUAAACAAACGGCUGAUUAUCUUCAGAAUUGGAAAAAUGACGAUGCUGCACAGCAGCAGCAUAUUAAUGCCUAGAUGCUGCAUGAUCUGACUGGAAACUUUGCAGGCAAAAAAAAAGAAGAAAUAUAAAUAAUAUAAAUCAUGUACUUAUAUUAUGAACAUGUACAAAUAAAAUCAUGUGAAAAAAAAACGUAAAAUUCUUUUUAUAAUAUUUUUUGGUUCAAAGGAAGUAUGCUACUGGUAAUGUAAGGCAGACUUAUUUUUCGGUCAACAAAUUAUGUUUGACAGCAAUAUGUAUAAUUCUCAACAGACUUUCAUCAAACUUGGCAUAGCUAUACUGCCACAAUCACAAAUUAAUUACACCACUGCUUAAGAGUUUUCCAUUCAUUAAACAGAUGUAUGUGUGCUAUGUCUGACCGAAGCUGCUGACUGUGUGAUAAUCGUGUUUGCUUCACACACCAUCAUGAGUACUAGCUGUCUCUAAUUUUCAGUCGCCCCCUCCCCCAACCCUAGCAUGCUUAUAUUUAUACAAGUAUUACGAAAACAUACAACCCUUUAGGUGACAGGCUAAGACCGAAAGUUCACAAUAAGACUGCUCGUUUCAUCAUCUUCUGUGAUGUAACAGGAAAAUAAAUUGCACAUGCCUUAAUUUCAGUGACAGCAAAAAAAUUCUGUUUUUAAAUUUGUAGCUCAGAUAUUACACUAUCUGUUCUCUGACAUCAUCAAGAUUGCCUGUAAUUAAAUUAAAACUUUGCAACAUAUAGGCCAGAUUAAAACAUCUAAGAAAAUAAUUGAAACUUUGAACUUUACAUUUACGCAGUUCAAAGACAAGUAGAUACAACCCAGAGCAACUUUCUUUAUCAAGUUACAGAUUAGUUAAAAGACUCUCAUUUCAUGAUAAUAUCAAUGCUUAAACAAAUUCUUUUGACAAAAAAGCUAUCAAAAAUUCAAAGAGCUGCACGUCAUGUGAAUUUCUGUUAAAUCUUCCAGUUUAACAUGUCUUAUUGCAUUUUUACAGCCAGAAUUUUAUCAUACAUUUCAAUUCAAAUGUAGAUUAUUUGUCAUUGAGCAUCACACCUACAUUCAAUUUACUUUUAACAAAACAUUCAUUAAUCAAUUUACAGGUUGAGAAGACAACAUAAUAGGGUCUGCAGUCAGUGUGUUGUACUAUGUAUAAGGUUAAAGGAAGUUGAACAGACAGAUAACCAUAGAUCAGUGACCUACAAUACAUAACCCAAGACACACAAAUGUCGCAGAAGUCAGAAAACCCAAAACUGCCCACUGAUUCUUUGGCAACCAUUAAAAAAAACCCCUUACACAAUGUCAUUUUCUGGGAAUGGCCCGACGAUGCUUUGCAACUAUACAAUGAUAUUGAUCAUUCUGUUUUUAAAUCAGUACCAAGCCACCUUAAAACAGAUAAAAAAAAAUCAUCAGAGGCCUUGACUCCAGAUCUGACACACAGUUGUGACUCCAUCUAUCAUGUUUUUAUGAAUAUAAUAGAAUCAAAAAUGGUAUUCCUCGUAUCAAAUAGGCUUAAGAUGGAUGACAAAUUUUCAAUAUGAACUUUAAGGGAAUCAGUUUGAAAUCCCUUAAGCUACAUGUCCUACAUUUACAGAGUAAAUAACAGAAUUUUUUUGAAUUGCUCGACUUCAAAUGUGGCAACAUCCUCUCUAUAGUGUGAACAAAAGUGACAAACAAAAUCCCAUAUACGGUGAAGGUAUAAAUUGAAAUCAAGUAUAGCAGCUUAUUUUCCAGGUUAAUGACGUUGAACAAGAUUAGUCAACCUACAUGUGCUACAAAAAUAAAAAGAUUUAUGAUAAAUUAAUGAUAAAUAUAAGUUUUAACAGAGAUCUAAAUCUUAAAAUAUCAGACAUUAAAAUCUGCAGGGAUUCCUUGUACCAUUUUUUCUUUACAUUUUUUUCUUUCCACAAUGCUUAUUUUUCACAUUAAAGUGAAAGGACCUGUUGCUAUGCGACAAAGCACCGAUGAGAUCUUAAAACCAUAAGUUUUCUGCUGAGACAAUGACAGCCGUGUUGUCAAGGCAACCUUCCAAUGCAGACAAUUUUUCCAUGAAACGAACUUUCAUUAAACCUGAUCUUUUUCAAAAUGAGAUCUUUUGGGAACAUUACUGAGAUUCUACAUACUAGGGUAUUGAUUUUUUUACUUUAAGGACAGUGAUAGCAUCUUGAUUAUUACUAAACUCAAAAGGGGGAAAGUUUUUCCAAGUUGUGCUAAUUGUCUCAACAGAACAUGUCAGAUUAAGAGAGGUAACUCUAAAAAUGCAAGCAGCAUUUCUGCUAACUUUUCGGUAUGAAAACCCAAUAUUGAAUUUUGGUUCCUCAAAACCUUUGGGAAAAUUUUCUUAAUUCAGCAUGAGUCAGUAUAUUCUAUAAAUAAAAUACAGUAUUCAAGAUUGAGUACAAAUUUAGAAAGACAGAGAAAACAGCAAUUUUGGGUUUAAAAAAUAUAAUUAAAAAAAAAAAUUUAAAAAGUUUUUUAAAAUUAUUGCAUUGUAUCUAAUAUUUAAAAACAAAUCCUUGACAACUACACAUUUAAUUUUAUGAUCUACAGUUCAGAUGUCUAAUACUAUCCAAUAGUUAUCAAUAUAGAAGCACCAGCUCAUAUGAUCAGAUACCUUGAAUGUUUGUGACAGCCAGUACAUCAAUAACAUAAGGAGAUUUAAAUUGCAUUAAAAAAAUUUCACAAUCAUAAAAAUCAAAAGUCACAGACUGCAGAUGACCAAUAAAUCUAAAUUAUGUCUCCAUUUCAACAGAUUACCAUAACCAAGCAGAAAAUACCUAAUAUACUAAUGAUUAAUGAAAGUUCUUUUUUUUUUCCAUAUCUAAAAAAAAAAAACCAAUUACAGACCAAGUGAACUGCAAACAGAAAAAAAGCCAACUCUAAAGUCUAAAGUUUUACAGCAAGAACGUGUCAUCCAAAGAGUGUCAUUUUAUUGAUCAAAGAAAAUUAACUCUUACAUGCCUGGUAAAUGAUCAAGAACGGUAACCACUGACACAACACAAUCCUUUGUGCAAACAUUUUUAUAUUUUUUAUUUUUCAAAGAGAGAUUUUGUAAAUGCAUGAUGAAAUUUAUUUUUUUUCUGUCCAUGCAAUAAUAAAUAAAAACUUGAAAGAUUUGAGACCAGUUGCUGCAUUAUUUUAAAAAUUAAAAAAUAGAAAGGUAAAGGUAAAGGAGAUAGAGGAAUGGAAAUAGAGUUUUUGACACAACAUACAUGCGCGGAUCCAGAAAAUUUUUCCAGGGGGGGUCCGAAGGAUAAUUGUGUUUGCCAGGGGGGGUCCGAGGCAUAUUUUCGCGAUAAUUUUACUAUGUAAAUUUAAUAAAUUUUCAUUUUCCAGGGGGGGUCGGGACCCCCCCGACCCCCCC